AAAAAUCCACCGCUCCAACUCCGAGGGGUGUGACGAGAGCUUCGGCUCGCAAAGUGGUCGUGUCCAUGCCGCCGAGAAAAACCUCUAAGCGAGUACACAUAAUGUCCGUACCGCAAACCGACACAGGUAGGCGAGGAGAGGAUCCUCAGGUGUUCGAGCUAACCCGGGUUAAGGAACUAGGCAAAAUGGUCCCGUAACUUAGGGAUAAGGGACGCCCGGUCUGGUGACGGUGUACAACCUGAGCCGGGCUGGGCCGCAGAGAGAUGGCCUGGGCGACUGUUUACUAAAAACACACGUCUCUGCCAAGUCGUAAGACGACGUAUAGGGACUGACACCUGCCCGGUGCUGGAGCGUUAAGGGGAGAGGUCAGAAUACGCCUAACCGUGUAUUCGAAGCUUUGAACCGAAGCCCCAGUAAACGGCGGCCGUAACUAUAACGGUCCUAAGGUAGCGAAAUUCCUUGUCGGGUAAGUUCCGACCCGCACGAAUGGUGUAACGAUUUGGGCACUGUCUCAACCCGGGGCUCGGCGAAAUUGCAGUAGCGGUGAAGAUACCGUUUUCCCGUGGAAGGACAGAAAGACCCCGUGGACCUUUACUGCAGCUUGAUAUUGGGUUCCGCCGUGGCGUGUGUAGGAUAGGCGGGAGACUUUGAAGCCUGGUCGCCAGAUCAGGUGGAGUCAACGUUGAAAUACCGUCCUCGUUUCGUUGGAACUCUAACACGGGUCCGUGAUCCGGAUCGUGGACAGUGUCUGGUGGGCAGUUUGACUGGGGUGGUCGCCUCCCAAAAAGUAACGGAGGCGCCCAAAGGUUCCCUCAGCGCGGUCGGUAAUCGCGCGUCGAGUGCAAAGGCACAAGGGAGCUUGACUGCGGGACGGACAGGUCGAGCAGGUACGAAAGUAGGGCUUAGUGAUCCUGCGGUCCCGAGUGAAGGGCCGUGGCUCAACGGAUAAAAGGUACCCCGGGAUAACAGGCUGAUCGCCACCGAGAGUUCACAUCGACGUGGCGGUUUGGCACCUCGAUGUCGGCUCAAUGCAUCCUGGGGCUGAACAAGGUCCCAAGGGUUCGGCUGUUCGCCGAUUAAAGCGUUACGCGAGCUGGGUUUAGAACGUCGUGAGACAGUUCGGUCUCUAUCCUCCACGGGUGUAGGAAGCUUGAGGGGAUCUGUCUUCAGUACGAGAGGACCGAGACGGACGCACCUCUAGUGUACCAGUUGUCCCGCCAGGGGCACCGCUGGGUAGCUACGUGCGGACCAGGAUAAGCGCUGAAAGCAUCUAAGUGCGAAACCGGCCCCAAAACUAGGCUUCCCGACCGAAAGGUCCUCAAGGCCACUCGGAGAUUACGAGUUUGAUAGGCCGCAGGUGUAAGCACAGUAAUGUGUUCAGCCGAGCGGUACUAAUCGGCCGUGCGGCUUCAUUAC
rnacentral:rRNA from 1 species